UCUGCCUCCCAAAGCAAGGAGAUGCAGGUGACAAGGGUUAAAUCCCUGGGUUGGAAAGACCCCCUGGAGAAGGAAAUGGCAACCCACUCCAGUAUUCUUGCCUGGGAAAUCCCAUGGGCGGAAGAGCCUGGCAGGGUUGCAAAGAGUCAGACAUGACUGAGUGAUUACAC